UACAGAGGGGGCAAGCGUUGUUCGGAAUUACUGGGCGUAAAGGGCGCGUAGGCGGCCCGCUAAGUCGAACGUGAAAUCCCCGAGCUCAACUCGGGAACUGCGUCCGAUACUGGUGGGCUUGAAUCCGGGAGAGGGAUGCGGAAUUCCAGGUGUAGCGGUGAAAUGCGUAGAUAUCUGGAGGAACACCGGUGGCGAAGGCGGCAUCCUGGACCGGCAUUGACGCUGAUGCGCGAAAGCGUGGGGAGCAAACGGG
rnacentral:rRNA from 1 species